ACGCUAGCGGCAGGCCUAACACAUGCAAGUCGAGCGGUAGAGAGAAGCUUGCUUCUCUUGAGAGCGGCGGACGGGUGAGUAAUGCCUAGGAAUCUGCCUGGUAGUGGGGGAUAACGUUCGGAAACGGACGCUAAUACCGCAUACGUCCUACGGGAGAAAGCAGGGGACCUUCGGGCCUUGCGCUAUCAGAUGAGCCUAGGUCGGAUUAGCUAGUUGGUGAGGUAAUGGCUCACCGAGGCGACGAUCCGUAACUGGUCUGAGAGGAUGAUCAGUCACACUGGAACUGAGACACGGUCCAGACUCCUACGGGAGGCAGCAGUGGGGAAUAUUGGACAAUGGGCGAAAGCCUGAUCCAGCCAUGCCGCGUGUGUGAAGAAGGUCUUCGGAUUGUAAAGCACUUUAAGUUGGGAGGAAGGGUUGUAGAUUAAUACUCUGCAAUUUUGACGUUACCGACAGAAUAAGCACCGGCUAACUCUGUGCCAGCAGCCGCGGUAAUACAGAGGGUGCAAGCGUUAAUCGGAAUUACUGGGCGUAAAGCGCGCGUAGGUGGUUUGUUAAGUUGGAUGUGAAAUCCCCGGGCUCAACCUGGGAACUGCAUUUGAAACUGACUGACUAGAGUAUGGUAGAGGGUGGUGGAAUUUCCUGUGUAGCGGUGAAAUGCGUAGAUAUAGGAAGGAACACCAGUGGCGAAGGCGACCACCUGGACUAAUACUGACACUGAGGUGCGAAAGCGUGGGGAGCAAAC
rnacentral:rRNA from 1 species